rnacentral:rRNA from 1 species
CCGGCUACGGCCGGGAUGUUCAUAACCCUUUGUUGUCCGACUCUGUUGCCUCCGGGGCGACCCUGCCUUCGGGCGGGGGCUCCGGGUGGACACUUCAAACUCUUGCGUAACUUUGCAGUCUGAGUAAACUUAAUUAAUAAAUUAAAACUUUUAACAACGGAUCUCUUGGUUCUGGCAUCGAUGAAGAACGCAGCGAAAUGCGAUAAGUAAUGUGAAUUGCAGAAUUCAGUGAAUCAUCGAAUCUUUGAACGCACAUUGCGCCCCCUGGUAUUCCGGGGGGCAUGCCUGUUCGAGCGUCAUUUCACCACUCAAGCCUCGCUUGGUAUUGGGCAACGCGGUCCGCCGCGUGCCUCAAAUCGUCCGGCUGGGUCUUCUGUCCCCUAAGCGUUGUGGAAACUAUUCGCUAAAGGGUGUUCGGGAGGCUACGCCGUAAAACAACCCCAUUUCUAAGGUUGACCUCGGAUCAGGUAGGGAUACCCGCUGAACUUAAGCAUAUCAAUAAGAGG